rnacentral:rRNA from 1 species
AACUUUCAACAACGGAUCUCUUGGUUCUCGCAUCGAUGAAGAACGCAGCAAAAUGCGAUAAGUAUUGUGAAUUGCAGGAUUUUGUGAAUCAUCGAAUUUUUGAACGCACAUUGCACCUUCUGGUAUUCCGGAGGGUAUACCUGUUUGAGCGUCA